CAAUAGCGUAUAUUAAAGUUGUUGCGGUUAAAAAGCUCGUAGUUGGAUUUCUGCUGAGAACGACCGGUCCGCCCUUUGGGUGUGUAUCUGGCUCUUUCUUGGCAUCUUCUUGGUGAACGUUGCUGCACUUGACUGUGUGGAGCGCUACCCAGGACUUUUACUUUGAGGAAAUUAGAGUGUUUCAAGCAGGCAUACGCCUUGAAUACAUUAGCAUGGAAUAAUAAGAUAGGACCUCGGUUCUAUUUUGUUGGUUUCUAGAGCUGAGGUAAUGAUUAAUAGGGAUAGUUGGGGGCAUUCGUAUUUAACUGUCAGAGGUGAAAUUCUUGGAGUUGUUAAAGACGGACUACUGCGAAAGCAUUUGCCAAGGAUGUUUUCAUUGA
rnacentral:rRNA from 1 species